AAUAUUGAAUUGUUUGGAAGAAAAUGGAACAAGAUCGAACGUCUAAUAUCGUUUUUUUAAUAAAAAGGAGCGUGGACACUUAGGAAUAACAAAGCUGUCAGCUUUGGUAUUAACCACAAAACCAUCCAUCAACAGAAGUUCUACGCAACGUGACGAACAAAAAGCUUGGCUGCAACAAUUGUCCGUGUCGAUAGCUCGACGACGAUCGGCCGGUCGACGAGGAGGGGCCCGAUGACGCAACUCCACGAUUCUUUCGACCGCGUCCUCCGUCGUUUUCUUCAGUAAAUUCGAUACACCUGUGUGCCAAUUGUUUUGACAUGUGUCCCCAUUGCGGCCUCUUGAACCAACGCACGAGAGGAGGGGAACGGACACACGCGUUCGGGCCACCUAUUCGGCCUCUCGUCGUCUCUGGUAACGAUAUGCGGGUCGUACAGUCCAACAUCGAAGAAUGGAACACAAAAAAAGAAUAUGUACAACAAGGAGACAAGAAGAGAAACGAUAGAAUCGGCAGUGGUUGAAAAAGAGAGCAAAAGGAGAAACGAGCCGAAACGACAGAAGACGAUUCAAUUUUCUGAUUAGGCGACGUAACGGUUUGCCACCGAAUUUAACUCCUCACUCUUGAAACUUACAAAGUGGUUUGAGUUGGAAGUGGUGCAAAUCAAACAUUCGUAUCUAUAGCUUGUAUCAAUUGUACAAAUUUGUCAUAAAUUAUUCUAUUUUUGCAAAGUUGCAAGAUUUCAGCAAGAAAGUGAGAUAAUGAUGAAAAAAGCAUCAAACGAACUCUUUAAAUUCUUUUCCAUAAAUGCGUACUACGUAAAAAAUCAAAAUUCAAUAAUAUAAAUUCAUUGCAAACAGGUUUCAUUAAUCCAUAUCGAAAUUUCAUUAAUCUUCCGUAAUACAUUAAAAUGAAAAAUUGUAAUAGGCAA